rnacentral:snoRNA from 1 species
CGCACGCUCCUUAGAUCCACCUCCGAUCUACCCUAAGAGGUGCUUGAGUCAUUAGUGUGCUAAAAUAUGCAAUAUCUCCAUGGUUAAUCUUUUGUCUCAGUAUCAUAAUUCAAAUUUUCGAAUGUUGCGAAUUUUCUUGGCACCGAGCAGACUGACCUGGGGACAAU